GUGUUGUCUGUUGUGUUUAUACUAUCAACCCUUGUUUCUCUUUUUAAAGGACACAUUGAAAAAGGGGGGGGUAGGGUUUGACGUAAAAAUAUUGAAAUUGCCGUCAUCCCCUUAAAACAACUAGAAUCAAAAGGUCAACCGCUCCUUCUUCAGGUUGUCAUAACCAUAGGCAGAUCACCCCCUUUUCUUUGUGGGAAAAAAAUGGUUGAUUAUGUAGGGAAUCAUUGAAGCACGACUAUUAAAAAAAAAGAGUGCCUCCCCCUUCGCUUAGGUCAGUCAGACCCCUUCCCCUUUUAGGAAAAGUUUUGGAUCCUAC
rnacentral:lncRNA from 1 species